rnacentral:rRNA from 1 species
GACCCGACUGCUAUUUGGGUGAGAAUAAGCCAUGCGAGUCGAAUGGGACACCUAAAUUUCCCAUGGCAAACUGCUCAUUAACACAUGAUCAACUUACCCUAUAGAGAAAAAUAACCUCGGGAAACUGAGGAUAAUAUUUCGUAGUUGAAUAGGCUUGGAAAAGUUUUUCAAUAAAAGGGAUAAAAAAAAUGGUUUUUAUCUGCUAUAGGAUAGGAUCGUGGACGAUUAUGGUUGUUGGUGAGGUAACGGCUCACCAAGCCGAUAAUCGAUAGGGGCCGUGAGAGCGGGAGCCCCGAGAUGGGUACUGAGACAACGACCCAGGCCUUACGAGGCGCAGCAGGCGCGGAACCUCCGCAAUACACGAAAGUGUGACGGGGUUACCCAAAGUGUUCAAUUCUGAACUGUGGUAGGUGAGUAAUGUUCCCUACUAGAAAGGAGAGGGCAAGGCUGGUGCCAGCCGCCGCGGUAAAACCAGCUCUUCAAGUGGUCGGGAUAAUUAUUGGGCUUAAAGUGUCCGUAGCCGGUUUGGUAAGUUCCUGGUAAAAUCGGGUAGCUUAACUAUCCGUAUGCUAGGAAUACUGCUAUACUAGAGGGCGGGAGAGGUCUGAGGUACUACAGGGGUAGGGGUGAAAUCUUAUAAUCCUUGUAGGACCACCAGUGGCGAAGGCGUCAGACUGGAACGCGCCUGACGGUGAGGGACGAAAGCCAGGGGAGCGAACCGGAUUAGAUACCCGGGUAGUCCUGGCCGUAAACGAUGCAUACUAGGUGAUGGUACGGCCAUGAGCCGUAUCAGUGCCGUANGGAANCCGUUAAGUGUGCCGCCNUGGGAAGUACGGUCGCAAGGCUAAAACUUAA